rnacentral:rRNA from 1 species
AUUGAACGCUGGCGGCAGGCCUAGCACAUGCAAGUCGAGCGGCAGCGGGAAAGUAGCUUGCUACUUUUGCCGGCGAGCGGCGGACGGGUGAGUAAUGCCUGGGAAAUUGCCCAGUCGAGGGGGAUAACAGUUGGAAACGACUGCUAAUACCGCAUACGCCCUACGGGGGAAAGCAGGGGACCUUCGGGCCUUGCGCGAGUGGCGGUGCCCAGGGGGGAUUAGCUAGUUGGUGAGGUAAUGGCUCACCAAGGCGACGAUCCCUAGCUGGUCUGAGAGGAUGAUCAGCCACACUGGAACUGAGACACGGUCCAGACUCCUACGGGAGGCAGCAGUGGGGAAUAUUGCACAAUGGGGGAAACCCUGAUGCAGCCAUGCCGCGUGUGUGAAGAAGGCCUUCGGGUUGUAGAGCACUUUCAGCGAGGAGGAAAGGUUGAUGCCUAAUACGUAUCAACUGUGACGUUACUCGCAGAAGAAGCACCGGCUAACUCCGUGCCAGCCGCCGCCGUAAUAC